rnacentral:tRNA from 2 species
GUGCCCAUAGCUCAGCCGGAUAGAGUAUUUGACUACGAAUCAAAGGGUCGGGGGUUCGAAUCCCUCUGGGCACACCA